rnacentral:lncRNA from 1 species
AGUCCUGUUGCAGGACCUCUGAAGGUAGCUGACUUUUAACAAGUUCUCAGAUGUGCACAAUUCAUCUUGCUUCAGCAGUCCAUGAUGGUGUAUUCUCCUUGGUGUGCAGACAAAUUCCUGCAACAGAGGCUCCUCCUCUGAAGGGGACUUCUACAAGCGUUGGUCGGGACUCGGAGUACUGUGUCCUAGUCACAAAGAGAGGCAGAGACGCAGAGGGGACUGUCGGCUGGUGCAGGCGGAACCAAAAGAUAUUUAAUCAGCAAUUAGAAGCACCUGAGGGUGAGGGAAAUUCUACUCCAGCCUUGAGCUUCAUCGCUCAGCCCACAGCAUUCCCAAAGCAACGGAAGUCUCUUCAAUGACAAAAGAGGGGUGCAAGUCUUUGCAAAGUCGUCACAGUGGCAGUCAAAGGAGGAACUUACUGUGCGUCUGAUCGCCAGCGAGCUGUUUGCUUUAAAUUAGCUGAAAUGCAAAAUAGUUUGAACAAUGAUGCAUUUUUGGAAUAUUUUUGCUAAAAGGAACAUGAAGAGAAGCUCUAGUUAUGAAGACUUAAUAAUUAUUCAGAAACUGUUUUUUUAUUAAUAGCUUUUAGCAUAACAUUUUUGUCAAAACACUGGAAACUGAAGAGUUUUUCAUUUUUCCUAUUUUGGCUUCAGAGGUUUGGCUUAUCUUUUACAGAAUUUGUUGUUUAUAAUUAUUUUUAAG